rnacentral:lncRNA from 1 species
UCCCAAAAAUUCCCCAAAAAUUCCCCCAAAUUCCUCCCCCAACCCCAGGGUCUCCCCCGGCUUCUGGCGCGUCCCGCACGCCGCAGCAAACUGGGAGCUACUGGGAACUACUGGGGGCUACUGGGAGCUACUGGGAGCUACUGGGGGCUACUGGGAGCUACUGGGAGCCACUGGGGGCUACUGGGAGCCACUGGGGGCUACUGGGAGCUACUGGGAGCUACUGGGGGCUACUGGGGGCUACUGGGGGCUACUGGGAGUUACUGGGAGCCGGUCCCGAUUCUCCCAUGGGUUUGGGCGUCUCUCUUGGAGUUUGGGGGUCUCCUGGUCCAGGUUGGGGUCUCCUGGUUGGGGUCGGGGUUCCCUCAUUUGGGUCGGGGUCUCCUGGUUGGGGUCUUCUGGUCCAUGUCAGGGUCUCCUCAUUUGGGUCGGGGUCUCCUGGUCCAGGUCAAGGUCUCCUCAUCUGGAUUGGGGUCUCCAGGUUGGGGUCUCCAGGUUGGGUCGGGGUCUCCUGGUCCAGGUUGGGGUCUCCUCAUCUGGAUUGGGGUCUCCAGGUCGGGGUCUCCUGGUCCAGGUCGGGGUCUCCUGGUUGGGGUCAAGGUUCCCUCACUUGGGUCGGGGUCUCCUGGUUGGGGUCUCCUGGUCCAGGUCGAGGUCUCCUCAUCUGGAUUGGGGUCUCCAGGUUGGGGUCUCCAGGUUGGGUUGGAGGUCUUCUGGUCCAUGUCAGGGUCUCCUGGUUGGGGUCUCCUGGUUGGGGUUGGGGUCACCUGGUCCAGGUCAAGGUCUCCUCAUCUGGAUUGGGGUCUCCUGGUCCUGGUCGGGGUCUCCUGGUCCAGGUCAGGGUCUCCUCAUCUGGGUCGAGGUCUCCUGGGUGGGGUCUCCUGGUUGGGGUCGGGGUCUCCUGGUCCAGGUCAGGGUCUCCUGGUUGGGGUCAAGGUUCCCUCACUUGGGUUGGGGUCUCCAGGUUGGGUUGGGGGUCUCCUGGUCCAGGUCAAGGUCCCCUCAUUUGGGUCAGGGUCUCCAGGUCAGGGUCUCCUCAUCUGGAUUGGGGUCUCCAGGUUGGGGUCUCCAGGUUGGGGUCAAGGUUUCCUCACUUGGGUCGGGGUCUCCUGGUCAGGAUCUCCUGGUCCAGGUCAGGGUCUCCAGGUUGGGGUCUCCAGGUUGGGUUGGAGGUCUCCUGGUCCAGGUCAAGGUCUCCUCAUCUGGGUCGAGGUCUCCUGGUUGGGGUCUCCUGGUCCAGGUCGGGGUCUCCUGGUUGGGGUCUCCUGGUUGGGGUCUCCUGGUCCAGGUCGGGGUCUCCUGGUUG